rnacentral:rRNA from 1 species
GCAGGUCGAGUCGUCGCCUUGGCUUGCUUGGCGGCUCAGUGGGCUCGGGUGAGUAACGUGUGAGUAACCUGCCCCCUACUCUGGCAUAGGCCCGUGCGACUGGAGCUCAUAUCGGAUAUGACCCCCCGCCGCAUGGUGCGGGGUGGAAAGAUUUAUCGGUGGGGGAUGGUCUCGCGGCCUAUCAGCUUGUUGGUGAGGUAAUGGCUCACCAAGGCGACGACGGGUAGCCGGCCUGAGAGGGUGACCGGCCACACUGGGACUGAGACACGGUCCAAACCUAUACGGGAGGCAGCAGUGGGGAAUAUUGCACAAUGGGCGAAAGCCUGAUGCAGCGACGCCGCGUGAGGGAUGACGGCCUUCGGGUUGUAAACCUCUUUCAGUAGGGAAGAAGCGAAAGUGACGGUACCUGCAGAAGAAGCGCCGGCUAACUACGUGCCAGCAGCCGCGGUAAUACGUAGGGCGCAAGCGUUAUCCGGAUUUAUUGGGCGUAAAGAGCUCGUAGGCGGUUUGUCGCGUCUGCCGUGAAAGUCCGAGGCUCAACCUCGGAUCUGCGGUGGGUACGGGCAGACUAGAGUGAUGUAGGGGAGACUGGAAUUCCUGGUGUAGCGGUGAAAUGCGCAGAUAUCAGGAGGAACACCGAUGGCGAAGGCAGGUCUCUGGGCAUUUACUGACGCUGAGGAGCGAAAGCAUGGGGAGCGAACAGGAUUAGAUACCCUGGUAGUCCAUGCCGUAAACGUUGGGCACUAGGUGUGGGGGACAUUCCACGUUUUCCGCGCCGUAGCUAACGCAUUAAGUGCCCCGCCUGGGGAGUACGGCCGCAAGGCUAAAACUCAAAGGAAUUGACGGGGGCCCGCACAAGCGGCGGAGCAUGCGGAUUAAUUCGAUGCAACGCGAAGAACCUUACCAAGGCUUGACAUGUGCCAGACCGCUCCAGAGAUGGGGUUUCCCUUCGGGGCUGGUUCACAGGUGGUGCAUGGUGUCGUCAGCUCGUGUCGUGAGAUGUUGGGUUAAGUCCCGCAACGAGCGCAACCCUCGUUCCAUGUUGCCAGCACGUAGUGU